rnacentral:lncRNA from 1 species
GGAUGUCUUUCCCCCCUUAACCCUCAUAUCAUGUAGGAGAAAUUUGCAAUGAGGCAUGGCCCUAACACACUGAGGAUAAUUGUGACCAAUGGGAAAAUUUCCAGAAACUUUGUAAGAGGCCAAGUCUGUAGAAGAUAACGGGGAAGUCGAUUGCCUCAGAAAUUGGAGUGACAGGAGCUUUCUUAAAGAAAUACAAUCGGAUAAAAGUUAAAGAACUUCUUAUUACGCUCCCAGUUAAACAGCUUCCGCACACCUUGGAAAGCUUUGCACCUUAUAGCACUCAGGUGUGUUAUGCUUUUAAUUAAAUGUGGUGUUUGCUGUCAUUUCUGUAAGUCCUCAAGCAGUAGACCCUUGGACCGACACAGAAUCCCAUUAAAGCCUUGCUUCCAUGGGAAAAUCAGAUUAUCCUCACCUCCUUUUGAACUACAAUGCCUUCCCCAGGAAUAUAAUUCAUGGUAAAUAUAAGGUCAUCUUGUACAUUUGGUAAUAGCUGCUCCUUCCUCUUCAGUGGUUAAGGUUAAAAUGCUGGGCUUGGUUCUUGGGGAGUGACUGCCCACGCCUACUGUUGGAAGUUCCUCCAUUAGUCAGGUUUGCCCUGGCCACUCUGAGAAGAUAGUGCUGGAAAAACUGCAGUCUUUCUCAUCUUACCUCCCCGACGUCUGAUCCUAGACUGACCUCUCAGAAAAGUGUUUGACCAACACUGUUCCAGCAGGUUUCCAUCUGCAUAAUAGCCUGGUGAUGUCUGGUAAGCACAAGCUGAGCGCACACCUUCUGGGGACUGAUGAGAUCUAGAAUAACCAAGAGAACGUAGACCUGCAUUUUCACUGAUUCCAUUGAACAGGCAUGGCCCCAACACUCCGCUUCUGUCUGAUACUCAUAAGGCACGCUCCAUUCUGAAGUUACCUUAGACGGCCAAACCUUUUAUAAAGUUGCUGUCUACUUCCUCUGGGGCAUAUACAGUUAAAGAUAUUGAACUUCUCUC